GGCAGCUUGGCCGAGCGGUUAUGGCACCAGUUACGGGUACACAUAUUCUCCUGAGUCGAAAGAGCGUGGGUUCGAGUCCCACAAUUACCA
rnacentral:tRNA from 1 species